UCUAAAUGGUAAACUUAAUCCUUUGGGUCC
rnacentral:piRNA from 1 species